UGGGGAAUCUUGCGCAAUGCGCGAAAGCGUGACGCAGCAACGCCGCGUGGGGGAAGAAGGCCUUCGGGUUGUAAACCCCUUUCAGUUGGGACGAAGCUUCGCCGGUGAAUAGCCGGCUGGAGUGACGGUACCUUCAGAAGAAGCCCCGGCUAACUACGUGCCAGCAGCCGCGGUAAUACGUAGGGGGCAAGCGUUGUCCGGAAUCAUUGGGCGUAAAGAGCGUGUAGGCGGCUCGGUAAGUCCGCUCUGAAAGCCCGGGGCUCAACCCCGGGAGGCGGGCGGAUACUGUCGGGCUAGAGUCCGGAAGAGGCGAGUGGAAUUCCUGGUGUAGCGGUGAAAUGCGCAGAUAUCAGGAGGAACACCAAUGGCGAAGGCAGCUCGCUGGGACGGUACUGACGCUGAGACGCGAAAGCGUGGGGAGCAAACAGGAUUAGAUACCCCCGUAGUCC
rnacentral:rRNA from 1 species